UUUUUUUUUUUUUUUUAAAUAACAGAAGAGCACUAUCACUGCAUGAUGGCUAUGAUGACCCUAUCAGUGGGCCACAGGAUGGCUGAGAUUGGCUUCAGAUAACUCACUGCCAAGUAUGGGAAGAGAUAACUGUAAGUGAACAUGAUUAAUGCCGCACAGAGAUUAGAAAAAAACAAAAGAAGUGGUUUGAGCUCAGAGUACAGAAUUGGGAAGCCCUCCUAGAGGUUGUGCCAUUUAACUCAGGUCUUAAAGAAUGACUAGGUGCUCUCAACAGACAAGCGGAAAAAAAGGUUUCAAACAGGAGGAAGUAGCUUAGACAAUAAGAAGGCAUUGAAGAGCAGAUAGCAGGUUUGGUGAAUCAUGAAAGGUCGUGCCUGGCACAACAGAUCUGUAAAGCAAGCCCAGUCACCCAAGCCAGAAAACAUCUGCCCAGGCUCCCCGACCUCAUUCUUUACCCCACACAUUUCACCAAGAACCAUUGAGCUAAAUCCUUUCCUCCAUUUCCAAUCCCUCCAACUUCUGCCUAGAAUACUCCAAGUUUCUUUCUUCUUUCUCUUCCUUUCUUUUCUUUCCUUCCUUUUUUCCUUUCUUUUUUAAGUAGGCUCCAUGCCCAGCAUAGAGUCUAAUGUGGGGUUUGAACUCAUGAUCCUGUGAUCAAGAGCUGAGCUGAGAUCGAGAGUCAGAUGCUUGACCAACUGAGCCACCCAGGCACCCUGAUAUUGCAAGUUUCUUAAUUGGCCCUCAAAUCUCCCCGAAUCUUCCCCUACAAGGUCACUGAAGUGAUUUUUCUGAAGUACAAUCAGGCCAAACCAUGUUGUCACUUAGAAUCCCAUAUGGUUCUCCAGCACACAAGAGAAGAAAUCCAUCCUUGAUGUGAUGCACAAUUUGAGGUAUGAUUAAGACCCUGUCCACCUUUUCAGAUUCAUGCCCUACUCCUGAGCCUUCCGGACUCUUCACUGGCUCUGUGAUAGUGGACAGAUCUAGUCCUAGUUACUAGGUUACCAAUCACAGAGAGCCCACUUCCUUACCUUUAACAUGGAGAUGAGCGUUUCUACCCAUGUGUUCAGGAUUAAAUAAAACUAUACAUCUAGAAACAUAGAAGCUUGGCCUUCCUCUUGCAUAUUAAAGACUUGUAAACAGAAGAAUGAUGCUAUUCUAUCAGCACUCUAGAAAGACGAAGGGUAGUAGUGGGGAUGGAUUGAGGGAGAACAAAACCAGGGUGAGGAAGAUCAGCCAGCAGGAGGAAAUACACGGUGAGAAAUGAGGGUGUCAUGUCAAUGAGAGUAGAAACAAAGGAACUAGAGCAAAUUAAGGGACUUAAUCUAAAGGACUUGGUUCCUAAAUGGAAGUAGAAGGCAAAGAGAAAGAUGUGAGAAAGCAGGUUUCAAAGAAAGGCCUUGACAUAUUCAUGAACAGAAGCUGAAUCUAAUUAGUUCUUAUGUUUUUUCUGCCCUCACUUGAAACAAUGCUCCAUGCUUUGACACUGGAUUUACUUUUAUAGAAAAGGGCAAAAGUGUGCUGGGAUCCAGCCUGGCAAAUCAAGAAACAAAGCUGGGAAAUGCCAUUUGGGAUUAAAAGUGAGCAGGGAUGAUUGUGUAAUGAUGCUUCUAACCCAGAUGCUUGAAAGGCAUUUUUCCAAAGAAACAAAACGUUCUCACCAAUGGUUUCAUGGACUAGAGUUUAUACAACUGGCAGGAAUCUGAGAUGUAUGUAACACAUCUUAGCUUUAAAAAGAAACAAAAAAACAAAGCCUAGCUACUUUAUAAACACAUCUUCCAAUCUGUUGCAUUAUCAAAUAGGAAACACAUGGUUUCACCCGAAGAUUCCACAAUACAUCAGGAGACCUACAGUUUCUUGAACACUGCUACCCUGCCUGUGGGACUGUCUCCCUCAAACACGUGUGUUCACAUUACAUCUGGGUAGAAGAGCUUAGAAAAAAAAAAAAAAUAGAAGUCCUGUUUUGCAGCUCUUCAGCAAAACGUCCAUGCAGAUAGAAAUUUCAAAUGCAGAUAGAAACUUGAUUCCUUCUACGUUAUCAUUACUCAAUUGUGACUUUACACCAUGCUACUCAGGCUGACAAUUUUAGAUUGGCAGUCACAUUUUACAGUUAAAAAAUAUAAUACACUUUGGUAUGUCCUCAGAAAAACAAAAUUUAAAACUUGCUAACGCAGGAAUUGCGUUACCUUGCAAUGAUUUCAAGGUUUGAGGUGAGAAUUCCUGGAUAUUCGAUUAUCAAAGAAUUCCUGGAUACUCGUUUAUCUGAAAGAAAUACAUCAAUUUAGAAAAUGUAUGGAGGCUGAUGGUUUACAUACUAACAGUAUUCCUUAUACACACAGUCUCAAACCAACUUUUCAUUACAUGUGUUUCUAGGAAUGUACUCUUAAGAGAGUCACUCAGGCUAUUGGAUUUUCCUUCAAACCACUUCAUGAGGUAUUUAAAGGAGUUAACAAGUUCAAGACCAACAAUUUUUAGGUUUUCAAGCCCUCACAUCCCAAGGAACAAGCACAGAGGCUAUAGAUAUGGCUGGUGCCUCCAGCCGUGGCCAAGAGCUGGAGACACAAACCACUUUGCACCUCCGAGACAGAGCAACCAGUGCUCUGGGCCACUUUCGGGAACCUCUGUGUCCUGCGUCGACCCUUGUGCAGCUAAGAUAGAUGGACAGAACUAGGAAGUAAAAAGACACUUUAAUACUAACUCAAAGCCAUCUUUGGUUCCUCUCCUGCUGAAUCCUCAUUAUCAGUGACUGCCCCUUGAGGUCAUCAUGCUAACAGGGACAUGAAGGUGGCUAUCCUGAAUUCUCUGGUAUGCUGUGCCUGAGGAUUAGGAUUUAGAACUUCUCUGGUUAGUUCCAAGGCACCCUCCUUCCUCACACCUGCCUUUAUAUGGGCCACGCAGCCCUAAUGUGGCCCCCAGAACCUCUGAUGUCAACUUAUCCCCAAGACAACAAAGGUAGCCUUGGUCAGGUUUAUGAACAGAGUAACUCCAACUGUAGCUGGAGACACUUGUACU
rnacentral:lncRNA from 1 species